rnacentral:rRNA from 1 species
UACGUAGGGUGCGAGCGUUAAUCGGAAUUACUGGGCGUAAAGAGUGCGCAGGCGGCGCCAUAAGACAGCUGUGAAAUCCCCGGGCUUAACCUGGUAACUGCGGUUGUGACUGUGGUGCUUGAGUGCGGCAGAGGGGGGUGGAAUUCCACGUGUAGCAGUGAAAUGCGUAGAGAUCUGGAGGAACACCGAUGUCGAAGGCAGCCCCCUGGGUUGACACUGACGCUCAUGGACGAAAGCGUGGGGAGCAAACAGG